AUCUGGGUGCCCCAUGAGAAUUUGUCAAGCUGCUAGCUAAACUUCAUGGAAAGCUGGAGAGGCCUUGGCAUGCCUCAUGAGAGGGAGUGAUGUUUGGAAGGUUGGCUAGGUUGGUGUAGAAAUGCCCAUCAUUUGUGCUCAGCAGAGCUUGGUAAGUAGGUAAGCCAUGAAUGCCCACAGCAGAUUGCUUCCUUCUGGAAGAGGCAAGGGGAGGCAGGAAGGGAAGAAGUGCUAGUGGAUUAGACAAGGAUAGUAAUAAGAUUAUACAGACUUGUCUUGUUGCCUAACACCCCUGCACAAGCCAGGAGAUGUCUGCAAACUGGUCACAUUUUCAGCCCAGUUUCCCCACAGUUUGGUAUAAAUUGCCCUUGCUGCUGGCCUUAUGGGGGCAAUGGCCCUGACCUACCUUUUGGAAGAGCUUUGAGAUCAUGAAACAGGUGAGAAAAGCUGGAUGGCAAGGGACCUCCUUCAGCCCAGCCAGCAGCACUGCAUACUUCAAAUAAGGAAAUUAACAUUGAGUGAUGGUAAAGGAGGGCACAACCUCAGUGCUAAGAUGUGUGAAUACAGACACAAAAAGGGAAAGGCUACACAGGCAAGCUCAGGGGAGAGUUCACUACACAUAGGGAAAUGUCAGGGACAGAGUAGUCCCUACCGAUUUGUGAAAAUUGAGAUGGAAAGUACCUCCAAAAGUUAAAACAGUUAAAACCUUCAUUGCCUGGAAGAAUAAGCUUCUCCUCUGUUCUGCAGAGAGGAAAAGCAACUGCAGGGUUUUCCAGACUUCAUUCCCUCCCUCCUUGUCCCCCGGUGUAGUGGAAGUGGUAGAUAUCUUCUGUGAUGCCUAUCUAAAUACAAGCCCUAGCUGCGAAUAUAAGUCGCAUCUGGCUCCCUGGUGUACUCCAGACACUUAUUUACCAUCUUGGAGAGAUAAGCAUUUAACUGAUUAACCUGUUCAAAAUCUCUGUGCAUAGUCAGCUCCUCCUAAAAGGGGUCAGACACUUAAAAUAGCAGGAACUGGAUGGGGAUGAUGCUCACUGGGUUAAAAUUAUCCUGAUAUCCUAGAUUGUUCCUCUCUUGACUGGGACGCCAAGAGCAAAACCCCUUAGAGCAGUAUGUGCUACAAAAGUCCAGACAAGUCUGCAUGAAGAACAUAAAAGUAGGCUUUUGAGCCUUCCUAAGGGAAUAAGGCUUAUGUUCUCAUGAUUUGUGCAUGUGUUAAACUGUCCUCACAUUCCAAUCCAGUAACUUUGAAACCUGUUGGUCUAUUUCAGUAAGAUUGGGGAAAUGGCAUAAAUUUCAUAGCUGAAGUUCCUGCAGGUUCAGAAUGUACCCAGCUAGAGGAGAGGGACCCUGUAAAUAACCUGAUUUUGGAAAAGGGUACAGUGUACAUGUAGUAAACACCAGAGAGAUCAUGUGGGUAAAAUCCCUUAUAAAUGCUCAGCUGGAAGAAAAGCUUCAGUGAGAGCUCACAACUUCUCAGGAACAUAAAUCCAUAGGGAACCAUAGGAACAUCCAUUCUGCACCUCACAAAACUACUGCUUUUGUUUUAUUAUGAUGUAGAGGGGAGGAAAAAUUAUUUUAUUUAGGAAACACUGUAAAAAACUCCACAGCCUAGUAUCCAGUGGAUUUAAGUGGAUCUGGUGGAUCUAGUGUGUUUAGGAACUGUUAUCCAGUACUCCAUUUGUUGUUGGCAUCCUGUUUGUAAAAGAACUAGCAGAGAGAGUAGUAUGCCACCUGAAACAGGAAGAGGUACUGAAGAGAGCUAGCAAGGAAAGUCAGGGGCCCAGGGCACGUGAUCUACAGGGAAAUGUUGUGGGUCCUGGGGUCCUUCCAUGUGGCACAGAGGAGACUAAGG